GAUGAAGAACGUAGCGAAAUGCGAUAAGUAAUGUGAAUUGCAGAAUCCAGUGAAUCAUCGAAUCUUUGAACGCACAUUGCGCCCGCCAGCAUUCUGGCGGGCAUGCCUGUUCGAGCGUCAUUUCAACCCUCGACCUCCCCUUGGGAGGUCGGCGUUGGGGACCGGCAGCACACCGCCGGCCCUGAAAUGGAGUGGCGGCCCGUCUGCGGCGACCUCUGCGUAGUAAUACAGCUCGCACCGGAACCCCGACGCGGCCACGCCGUAAAACACCCAACUUCUGAACGUUGACCUCGAAUCAGGUAGGACUACCCGCUGAACUUAAGCAUAUCAAUAAGCGGAGGA
rnacentral:misc_RNA from 1 species